ensembl:lncRNA
AUGGCGAGGCCCGGACGCCCCGUGUCUGAGAGCUACCAGCCCGCCGGCUGUUCCGUCAGCCAGUCCGCCUCUUACUCCAGCGAAGCCAAGGUCCUGGGACCGGAGGACGGCGACGACCACGCGCCCAUUUUCUCCCUCUCUAAGAGCUACAUGGAUGUCGUCACGGCGACGGGGCCGACGCACAAGCGGGACUCGGCCUGGAGCCACGUGGACCUGAAGCGCAGCUCCAGCACCAACACGCACGCCGAGCGGAACUCGGUGACGCUGCAGCAGCUGCACCCUCACAUGUGGCAGCACAUCAACUCCACCCGGCGCUGCCAGUCGUCGCUCUCGGCCGAGAGCGCGGACGUGCACGUGCCUCCCGCCCUCAGCGAGCGGUGGAUGGCCAACAUGCAUCGCUGGAGCGCGUGCAGCGGCACGCUGAGCCGCAGCAGUACUCCGGACACGGUUGUGUGGAGAGGCGGGACCUCGCGGCCCUCGAGUUUAACCCAGGAAACCCCUUGGUCUCCGGUGUCCAAAACGACCCCCUCGCCGACGACGCCCUCGCCCUUUACGUCCCCCUUACAGACGCCGACUCGACCACUGGAAGAUCUUUUGACUUCUUCUUUUUCGACCCAAACGCUGAGGACACAUCAGCAGGAAGUCUUCCCAAAGCCCUCUACACCGCUGUCACCCUCGCAGGCUCAACCCUCCUCACCUUCACCGCCGUACUCCCCCGAUCACCUGCAGCUCACCAGCGCAGAGGAUGAGGGCUUCCUGGACCACAACCAUUAUUGUUUUACAUUCCCAUCCCCGAUCCCGUCGUCUGUUAGUUUAGCAGAAGCGGGUUUGCCAUCAGAUGCUGAAUACCCGGUUGACGAUAACGUGAUGCAGGAUCUCCGCAGUCCUGGGGGCUCGGGGCUACUGGGGGUUGGAGGAGAAAGAAGCCCGGACAACGUGUUAAAUCAUUCGGCGGCUACAUCUCCAGAAGAUGAAGAGGAAUCGGGAAGAGGAGCCUCAGUCUGCCACCUCGAGCUGCCAUGGCAGCCGGGCCCAAGCUGUCCGGCGGGCCGCGGUUGGAAAUCACCCCUGGUUUCUUCCCUGAGCGACUCGCUAUUGGGGGACUGCUGCAGGUGCAACUUGAACACCAGAGAGGGCAUCGUGAGGGCGCAGGUGUUGCGGGAGGCAGGUACAAUGACUUCACAGCCGGAGCUGGUGGACGCGGCGGUGCAGACGAUCUCCCCCCGUCGCCUCCCUGUGGGUCCUCGGGAGAAAGAUGCCCAACUCCAACAUGGGCUCCCACUCCCUCCUGGGCUCGCCGCCCGGAUCAAGGCUGAACCUUAA